rnacentral:rRNA from 1 species
UACGAAGGGUGCAAGCGUUACUCGGAAUUACUGGGCGUAAAGCGUGCGUAGGUGGUUCGUUAAGUCUGAUGUGAAAGCCCUGGGCUCAACCUGGGAACUGCAUUGGAUACUGGCGAUCUGGAGUGCGGUAGAUGGUGGCGGAAUUCCCGGUGUAGCAGUGAAAUGCGUAGAUAUCGGGAGGAACAUCCGUGGCGAAGGCGGCCACCUGGACCAGCACUGACACUGAGGCACGAAAGCGUGGGGAGCAAACAGG